AAGGGUAAAUCCUGCAUCUCCUCAUGUAUCAUCAUUGAAUGUCAGCCAUGGUGUAAUUGGAUAUAGACAGCCAUUGGGGGGCGCUGUGAUCCACAGAUUCCUCCAGGACCUUCUCUCUGAUCCUCCCACCUCCCAAGACGAACCCUCAGGAUUCCUUGCUGAAUGCAUAUAAAGCACAAAAGCACACUGUCCUCCUCUCUCUGCAAGUACAAGCAAAACGUCAGAGCUCCUGCCAUGACGGCCAGGAUGGAACUGAGGCACGACACGGACUGAACAGCACGACAGAAUUCCUAAUGAGGGACCCGGUACGGGAAUGACAGCAUCUCUCGCCGUUACUACAACUGGAGGAGACAAGUAGCUGGGACGCCCUACCCGGAUACAUGGGAUUGGUAAGAGCAGAGUAACU